UGCAGUCGACGGCAGCACGGGAGCAAUCCUGGUGGCGAGUGGCGAACGGGUGAGUAAUAUAUCGGAACGUGCCCAGUCGUGGGGGAUAACGUAGCGAAAGCUACGCUAAUACCGCAUACGAUCUAUGGAUGAAAGCGGGGGAUCGCAAGACCUCGCGCGAUUGGAGCGGCCGAUAUCAGAUUAGGUAGUUGGUGAGGUAAAGGCUCACCAAGCCGACGAUCUGUAGCUGGUCUGAGAGGACGACCAGCCACACUGGGACUGAGACACGGCCCAGACUCCUACGGGAGGCAGCAGUGGGGAAUUUUGGACAAUGGGCGCAAGCCUGAUCCAGCAAUGCCGCGUGCAGGAUGAAGGCCUUCGGGUUGUAAACUGCUUUUGUACGGAGCGAAAAGGCUUCCACUAAUACUGGGGGCUCAUGACGGUACCGUAAGAAUAAGCACCGGCUAACUACGUGCCAGCAGCCGCGGUAAUACGUAGGGUGCAAGCGUUAAUCGGAAUUACUGGGCGUAAAGCGUGCGCAGGCGGUUCGGAAGAAAGGUGUGAAAUCCCAGGGCUUAACCUUGGAACUGCACUUUUAACUACCGAGCUAGAGUACGUCAGAGGGGGGUAGAAUUCC
rnacentral:rRNA from 1 species